CAGAAUGUAGCUUAAUUUAAAGUUCUUCGCUUACACCGAGUUCAUGCCCAUUAAACCUGGGUCAUUCUGA
rnacentral:tRNA from 1 species